UACGUAGGGUGCGAGCGUUGUCCGGAAUUAUUAGGGCGUGAAGGCUCGUAGGCGGUUUGUCGCGUUCGGGAGUGAAAACUCGAGGGCUUAAACCCCUGAGCCUUGGCUUCCGACUACGGGCAGACUAGGAGGUAUGCAGGGGAGAACGGAAGUUCCUGGAUUGAGCGGUGAAAUGCGCAGAUAUCAGGAGGAACACCGGUGGCGAAGGCGGUUCUCUGGGCAUUACCUGACGCUGAGGAGCGAAAGUGUGGGGAGCGAACAGG
rnacentral:rRNA from 1 species